CAGCCGCCGCGGGAAUACGUAGGUGGCAAGCGUUGUCCGGAAUUAUUGGGCGUAAAGGGCUCGCAGGCGGUUUCUUAAGUCUGAUGUGAAGGCCCCCGGCUCAACCGGGGAGGGUCAUUGGAAACUGGGAAACUUGAGUGCAGAAGAGGAGAGUGGAAUUCCACGUGUAGCGGUGAAAUGCGUAGAGAUGUGGAGGAACACCAGUGGCGAAGGCGACUCUCUGGUCUGUAACUGACGCUGAGGAGCGAAAGCGUGGGGAGCGAACAGGAUUAGAUACCCCAGUAGUCCCUGUCUCUUAUAU
rnacentral:rRNA from 1 species